UCAUUCCCCAACUCAAAGUUGGCACAAAAACAAAACUCCCUCAUGAACCACAACUCUGUCGCGGCGGAAAUCGCCUCUGGCCUGCGACAGAGGCCCAAUUGAGUCCAAACAUCCCUGAUUAUGUUUGUAUUAAACCCCUCUCUCCUAAUCUCACACUAGUUUACUUCAAAACUCAACCUAACAGCCAAAUCGAAGCAAAAUAUGAUGAACCCUAAAAUAUGAAACUAGAAAUUAAACGGAAAUGGUAAGCUAAUUGGAGUCCAAAGCUUAGGGGUUUGGCUCCUCAUGUACUACCCUACAUCAUGGUAACCUUGACUCAGAAAAGAAAUGGGAAAGCCUACUUGCCGGAGCAACUCCGAUGAUUUUUCAAGUGGCGGCGUUGAGGAACGAUGAUCCACGAGCCUUCUACUUCCCAAGGGAUGACUUGGGCUUGGAGUUUGAUCAUGGUUUCAAGUACAUUUGGAGGCUACCAUGAAGAUCCUUAAUGAUGGCUUGAAGAAAUAUGGCAUGGAUUACUUUGCCAUGAAAGAAACUUGGAUAUGAAUUCAAAUGAGAAGAUGGAAGAGUGAAGACCAAAGAGAAAAUUAGGAUUAGGAUUAGUGGUUAGGUCAGUUGACUUUGGUCAACUGGUUGACCAAAAAGUCAACAUUUGACCAAUGUCAACUGUAGGUCAAAUUUAUAUAUUUUUUUGUAAAUUUGUAUGGAUUUUGUAAUUUUUGGUCUUGUGUAAUAGAAUGGACAUUUUCACAAGGAAAUGGCCUUUUAUUCAAUGAAAUGUGCCUUGUUCUCAAGUAGAA